rnacentral:rRNA from 1 species
UCAAGAUGCUAAGGGCCCACGGUGGAUGCCUUGGCACCCGAGCCGAUGAAGGACGUGGCUACCUGCGAUAAGCCAGGGGGAGCCGGUAGCGGGCGUGGAUCCCUGGAUGUCCGAAUGGGGGAACCCGGCCCGUGGGAACACGGGUCACCGCUCUUUGAGCGGGGGGAACCUGGGGAACUGAAACAUCUCAGUACCCAGAGGAGAGGAAAGCGAAAGCGACUCCCUGAGUAGCGGCGAGCGAAAGGGGAAGAGCCUAAACCGCCCGGCUUGUCCGGGCGGGGUCGUGGGGCCCUCGGAUACCGAAUCCCUAGCCUAGCCGAAGCCUCUGGGAAGGGGCGCCAGAGAAGGUGAAAGCCCUGUAGGCGAAAGGUGAGGGGAUAGGUGAGGGUACCCGAGUACCCUGUGGUUCGUGGAGCCAUGGGGGAAUCUGGGCGGACCACCGCCUAAGGCUAAGUACUCCGGGUGACCGAUAGUGAACCAGUACCGUGAGGGAAAGGUGAAAAGAACCCCGGGAGGGGAGUGAAAUAGAGCCUGAAACCGUGGGCUUACAAGCAGUCGCGGCCCGUUGAGGGUUGCGGCGUGCCUAUUGAAGCAUGAGCCGGCGACUCACGGUCGUGGGCGAGCUUAAGCCGUUGAGGCGGAGGCGUAGGGAAACCGAGUCCGAACAGGGCGUUUAGUCCGCGGCCGUGGACCCGAAACCGGGUGAGCUAGCCCUGGCCAGGGUGAAGCUGGGGUGAAACCCAGUGGAGGCCCGAACCGGUGGGGGAUGCAAACCCCUCGGAUGAGCUGGGGUUAGGAGUGAAAAGCUAACCGAACCCGGAGAUAGCUGGUUCUCCCCGAAAUGACUUUAGGGUCAGCCUCAGGUGCUGACUGGGGCCUGUAGAGCACUGAUAGGGCUAGGGGGCCUACCAGCCUACCAAACCCUGUCAAACUCCGAAGGGUCCCAGGUGGAGCCUGGGAGUGAGGGCACGAGCGAUAACGUCCGUGUCCAAGCGCGGGAACAACCGAGACCGCCAGCUAAGGUCCCGAAGUCUGGGCUAAGUGGGAAAGGAUGUGGCGUCGCGAAGACAGCCAGGAGGUUGGCUUAGAAGCAGCCAUCCUUUAAAGAGUGCGUAAUAGCUCACUGGUCGAGUGACGCUGCGCCGAAAAUGAUCGGGGCUUAAGCCCAGCGCCGAAGCUGCGGGUCUAGGGUGUAUGCCCUAGGCGGUAGGGGAGCGUUCCCGAUGCCGAUGAAGGUCGUCCGCGAGGGCGGCUGGAGGUAAGGGAAGUGCGAAUGCCGGCAUGAGUAACGAUAAACAGGGUGAGAAUCCCUGUCGCCGUAAGCCCAAGGGUUCCUACGCAAUGGUCGUCAGCGUAGGGUUAGGCGGGACCUAAGGUGAGGCCGAGAGGCGUAGCCGAAGGGCAGCCGGUUAAUAUUCCGGCCCUUCCCGUGGGUGCGAUGGGGGGACGCUCUAGGCUAGGGGGACCGGAGCCAUGGACGAGCCCGGCCAGAAGCGCAGGGUGGGAGGUAGGCAAAUCCGCCUCCCAAGAGCUCUGCGUGGUGGGGAAGCCCGUGAGGGUGACAACCCUCCGAAGCCAGGGAGCCGAGAAAAGCCUCUAAGCACAACCCAUGGGAACCCGUACCGCAAACCGACACAGGUAGGCGAGGAGAGAAUCCUAAGGUGCGCGGGAGAACUCUUGCUAAGGAACUCGGCAAAAUAGCCCCGUAACUUCGGGAGAAGGGGUGCUCGCCUUUGGCGAGCCGCAGUGAACAGGCUCUGGCGACUGUUUACCAAAAACACAGCUCUCUGCGAACUCGUAAGAGGAGGUAUAGGGAGCGACGCUUGCCCGGUGCCGGAAGGUCAAGGGGAGGGGUGCAAGCCCUGAACCGAAGCCCCGGUGAACGGCGGCCGUAACUAUAACGGUCCUAAGGUAGCGAAAUUCCUUGUCGGGUAAGUUCCGACCUGCACGAAAAGCGUAACGACCGGAGCGCUGUCUCGGCGAGGGACCCGGUGAAAUUGAAUUGGCCGUGAAGAUGCGGCCUACCCGUGGCAGGACGAAAAGACCCCGUGGAGCUUUACUGCAGCCUGGUGUUGGCUCUUGGUCGCGUCUGCGUAGGAUAGGUGGGAGCCUGUGAAGCCGCCCUUUCGGGGGCGGUGGAGGCGCCGGUGAAAUACCACCCUGAUGCGGCUGGGGGCCUAACCCAAGGGAUUGGGGACAGCGCUUGGCGGGCAGUUUGACUGGGGCGGUCGCCUCC